CAGCCGCCGCGGGAAAACGUAGGUCCCGAGCGUUGUCCGGAUUUAUUGGGCGUAAAGCGAGCGCAGGCGGUUUCUUAAGUCUGAUGUGAAAGCCCACGGCUCAACCGUGGAGGGUCAUUGGAAACUGGAAAACUUGAGUGCAGAAGAGGAAAGUGGAAUUCCAUGUGUAGCGGUGAAAUGCGCAGAGAUAUGGAGGAACACCAGUGGCGAAGGCGACUUUCUGGUCUGUAACUGACGCUGAUGUGCGAAAGCGUGGGGAUCAAACAGGAUUAGAUACCCCGGUAGUCCCUGUCUCUUAUAC
rnacentral:rRNA from 1 species